rnacentral:rRNA from 1 species
UACGUAGGGCGCGAGCGUUGUCCGGAAUUACUGGGCGUAAAGCGUGCGCAGGCGGUUAUGUAAGACAGGUGUGAAAUCCCCGGGCUUAACCUGGGAACUGCAUUUGUGACUGCAUAGCUAGAGUACGGUAGAGGGGGAUGGAAUUCCGCGUAUAGCAGUGAAAUGCGUAGAUAUGCGGAGGAACACUGAUGGCGAAGGCAAUCCCCUUGACCUGUACUGACGCUCAUGCACGAAAGCGUGGGGAGCAAACAGG